rnacentral:tRNA from 1 species
GGUUCCACAGUGUAGCGGUUAGCACUUCUGCUUUAUAUGCAGAUGGUCCUGGGUUCACACCUCAUUGGAACCA